rnacentral:rRNA from 1 species
ACGAACGCUGGCGGUGUGCUUAAUACAUGCAAGUCGAACGAAGAGGCCCUUUCGGGGGUACUUCAGUGGCGGACGGCUGAGUAAUGCAUAGGUAACGUGCCUCAAACUGGGGGAUAACACCGGGAAACUGGUGCUAAUACCGCAUAAGUGCCAAGUUGAAACGCUUGUCAUUAAAGAUUUAUCGGUUUGAGAUCGGCCUGUGUUGGAUUAGCUUGUUGGUGAGGUAAUGGCUCACCAAGGCUAUGAUCCAUAGUUGGUCUGAGAGGAUGACCAGCCAGAGUGGGACUGAGACACGGCCCACACUCCUACGGGAGGCAGCAGUAGGGAAUAUUGCGCAAUGGGCGAAAGCCUGACGCAGCAACACCGCGUGAAGGAUGAAGCUUUUCGGAGUGUAAACUUCUGUCGGCAGGGAAUAAAUCUGACUGUACCUGCAAAGGAAGCAUCGGCUAACUACGU